UGGGGAAUUUUGCACAAUGGGCGCAAGCCUGAUGCAGCGACGCCGCGUGAGGGAUGAAGGCCUUCGGGUUGUAAACCUUUUUCGCUCAUGGUCAAGCCGCAGCUUUGGGUUGUGGUGAGGGUAGUGGGUAAAGAAGCGCCGGCUAACUACGUGCCAGCAGCCGCGGUAAUACGUAGGGCGCGAGCGUUGUCCGGAUUUACUGGGCGUAAAGGGCGUGUAGGCGGCUAGAUAAGUGUGAUGUUUAAAUCCAAGGCUUAACCUUGGGGUUCAUUACAAACUGUUUAGCUUGAGUGCUGGAGAGGAUAGUGGAAUUCCUAGUGUAGCGGUAAAAUGCGUAGAUAUUAGGAGGAACACCGGUGGCGAAGGCGGCUAUCUGGACAGUAACUGACGCUGAGGCGCGAAAGCGUGGGGAGCAAACAGG
rnacentral:rRNA from 1 species